rnacentral:tRNA from 1 species
GGGGCCGUAGCUCAGCUGGGAGAGCGCCAGCUUUGCAAGCUGGAUGUCGUCGGUUCGAUCCCGAUCGGCUCCACCA